GGGGAUGUAACUCAGUUGGUAAAGUGCCUGCCUUAUAUGCAGCAAGGUCCUGACUUCAAUCCCCAGCAUCACCA
rnacentral:tRNA from 1 species